UUCCUCCCAUACCCUGCUAUUCCAUACCCUGCCAGCAUGGAGGGCGAUAAGGACCAGGAGGACAGGGCCUUUGCUGCUACAAACAGCACAGAGCCCCACUGAUGCAGGGCAUUUCACUCAAUACCAAGAGUGCCCAGUAUCCAUAAUCCAUUCAUUUAGUCAGCAGGAAUUUAUGCUGUCCUCUGCCCUGAGUAUAAAAUAGUUUGGGUCUGUGCACAAAUGUAGAUCCAACUCUGAUGCAGAAGCCAGAAGAGGAAAUCAACAAUAAGGAGAGAAGGUGCAAAGAACUGCGAGGCGAACAGAACUGUGAGCACAGACUCUGCCCAGGAUGUGGGGGCUGGAGAAAUUCCAUCAGAGAGAUGUCAUGUGAAUACAAAGCAAGAUGAUGGUCACCUACAAGCUAUGAGACCUCAGAAUGGAAUUUACUUUGCUGGCUCCUUGACCUUGGACUUCCAGCCUCCAGAACUGUGGGAGAUACAUUUCUGUUGCUUAAGCCACUCAUUCUCAGGAAGUAAUAACUGUGUCGUGAGCUGCUUGUGGGAAUUUAGUGGAUCAUUCACACAAAACACCCAGCCUGACAUCAAUAAAUAUUGGUUCUCAAGACCGCAUAUCUUCUUUUCCCUUAACUCAGCUACCAGCAAGGAGUAAACUUUUAUUUGAGUUCCUAGCUGAGUCUCCUUUGCCAUCAGUGUGUCUUUGAAGGGUGUUGAC